GUAAUGCCAUGAUCAUGGUAAUCCUUGUAAUUAGAAUUGUACAAUUAGUUAUCUGAUUGCUCUCUUUUUCAUCCGUGUGAUAUGAGGAAUUGUUAAUGACAUCUGGCCUUCUGCACACUGGAGCUGCAUAUCAUUUUGUAUAGUUACCCUUCAGGCUGAUGAUACAUUCACAAAGGAGGCGGAAGGAGCAUACACAGAGGAUGAGAGGUCUUGAAGGGUUUCCAGCUGAGACCAGUCUGCAAAGCUGCCUGCUUAAGCUUCUUAAACUUAUCUGGAGGGAAUGGAGGAGACGACUCCCAGAACAGAGGCCAUUGCUGAUGAGUCCUGGAGACAAGGCCCAAACUGGAGGCCACCAUGAGGGAGGCGAGUCCGGGGGGGGAAGUCCCGGAGCAGAGACCGGCACAAGAGGCGAGUCCGGGGGACAAGUCCUGGACCAGAGGCCAGCACAGGGGAGUGGAGGUCCUCGCGGAUUGGAGACAAGGCCUCGAAGUUUGAAGCCAGGCCUGGUCUGGGGACUUGGCCCAGUGCAGUCUGGAGGCUAAGUGAAAAGAAUUGUAAUUCGAGUACUUUAUAAAAACUUUUUAUUCUUAUGCUGGACUUUUAUUUAUUGUUUUUUUUUCAAUUCUGUAGCAAAAAAUUAAGAAUGUGUACCCAGGUAUCCUGUAUCUAAGAUGGCGCCAUAAGUGGCAACAUUGCAAACUUUUCA